rnacentral:rRNA from 1 species
AGCUCCUACGGGAGGCAGCAGUGGGGAAUAUUGCACAAUGGGGGAAACCCUGAUGCAGCGACGCCGCGUGAGUGAAGAAGUAUCUCGGUACGUAAAGCUCUAUCAGCAGGGAAGAAAAAAAGUCUUUGGCUUUGGACGGUACCUGACUAAGAAGCCCCGGCUAACUACGUGCCAGCAGCCGCGGUAAUACGUAGGGGGCAAGCGUUAUCCGGAUUUACUGGGUGUAAAGGGAGCGUAGACGGCAGCGCAAGUCUGGAGUGAAAUGCCGGGGCUCAACCCCGGAACUGCUUCGAAUACUGUUGGAC